rnacentral:lncRNA from 1 species
UUUCAUGUAGUUUCUGAAAUACAAGAUCAAGUGCUAUUAACAUUAAGAUGUCUAUGGCAAGGUGUGUGUAUGUGUGUAUGUGUGUAUUGUCAUGAUUUUAUAUAUAUUCUCUCAAUAUUGUAUAUAUUCUCUCAAUAUUUGGCAACAUUUAAUAUAUCAAUUUAUAUUCUUCUUUUUAACAGCCAUCUUAUAAUUUUCACAGACUUGUCAGACUGGUCUGAGGAAUAAACCAAUUGUUUCAUUUGCCUCUAUAGGAAAAUAUACCCAUGGCUUGUUCCUUAUAUACCUUCAUUACUAAUGUGAUUAUUUUAUGUAUAUCAUUAGAAUGCAUGCAAAUAGAAUAGGUUAAGGCAUUUUAAAGCUGAAUUAUGGAAAUAUUAAUAUACAGAAGAAAACUAGGUUCAACUACCAAUUUAUUUAACAAAAAAACACAACUCAUAUUACAGAUAAUCUUUUGUUGGAAGGAUUAUUUAUACUUUCAGUGUAAGAUUGUUAUUCUUUUGCACAAUCUUUUCCAGUUUUUUCCUUUUUUUUAUGGUACAAAAGUGUAGUCAAGCUCCAGUGAGUAUCACUAGUCAGUAUCAGUUUGCUUCAUAUACAUCAAUUUGUUGAAAGUAUAGACUCACUCACUUCAGUGAUAUGUCAGUAUAGUUAUCAUUAGAUUAUUUACAGAUAUAUUUUUAGCAUUUAGUAAUUGAUAAUGAUACAGGUAAUACUGUUGUGAUAAUUUUUGUUAUCCAGCUGUAAAAGAAAUUAUCCAGAAUAAAGAGUUACUUCACUGAAUUCUGACAUUAGCCUUAUAUAGAUUGCAUACAUAUGUAUAUAUUGUGAUUUUGUACAUAAAAAAACAGUGAUUUAAAUUUAAAUUUAAAUUUUUGGUCACAUCUUAACUAGUAUGGUUAAAGGUAGAGUAAUUCAAUUAUAGUCAUUUUAUCUGCUUUUAAUGUGUAUUUGUCACACAUUAAAGACCACAUGCACGGCUGAUUAUCUUUUGAAAUAGAAAAAUAAUUAAAUGAAGAACCAUCAAGAAAAAUGAUUAAUGUCAAAGGUUAACUAACAAAAAUGAAUCCUUUCCUAUUCCAUGAUGGGUUUGUGCCAUCUGCAUGUAUGUUAUCCUGACAGUAAGAUGAUCCACUCAAAAUUAUACAGGCGUCCUGCAAGGUAGAUGAAGGUUUUAAGUAUAUAUGUUGGCCAGUCUUUCUAUUUUUGGUUAAUAGCUCGAACUUUUCCUUUAUUUUAAUUGCUAUACCUAUUCCAGGCCUUAUUUCCUAUAUUUCUAAAGACCAACAUGUUUUAAUCAUUAUUUCAGUUAAUUAGCAUUAAGCUUAAUAUUCUGAUUUUCCUAAUGUGCUAAGAUCGAACAUUUCUUUUUUAUUAGAUGUUGAAAUAUACAAGUCAUUAUGUUGUGUAUAUUGCUGACUAAAAAUAUUGCUGGAGUGUAAAGGAGAAAAAUCUAAUUUUAUAUUGGCAUAGAAAGAAAGCUUAACUUGUUUUCUUGCUCUUUUUUUAUAGAGAACACCUGUUCCCAGCGCUGAAGCAUUCCGAUGGUUCUUUUAAAGCAGUAGUAUAUCUUAUUUUCAAGGCAUUUGGAAAUGAAGGGCAAACUAAUGUCUUGUUUUAAGAAACUGCUUAGUCCAUCAUUGAAGAAAAUAUCCAGAAAUUAUUUUCAUUUUAUGUAUAGGGGUUUCUUCAAAAAAAUAAAAAAGAGGAAAAGAAAAAGAAAAAAAGACAUAAAAAUAAUGUGGGAGCUUGGGGAAUUGGCCAGUCUAUUUCCUUUCAAUACACUGAUUCUUUCUUUGAUGUAAUUUAGAUAUACUAGUGAAGUUGUUGUCUAUUUUGAAAGUGGCUGUAAAAAAUAAGUUUGGGUAAACCCCUGCUGUAAAAUCAUGUAUCUUUGCAAAGUACAUAUCUAUACUUCAUUUUCAAAUAUAUGUGUUUCAGUACUGUAAACUGUACAGAUAGCAGCUUGUAUUUUGUGUGUUUAGACACAAGGAGACAAUCAUGUCUGAGCAUCUAUGGAGAUUAACAGUUUGUACACAACAGUAUGGUUCUGCAAGUUAUAUCUGGAGCAAUAAAUUUUAGCUUUAAAUAUUUUUUGCCAGUUGUUUCUAGAAGCAGCAACAUCACUGGCACUGUUUUGCCAUGCAUCUUUCCGUAGAGACUCGAUGCCAAGUUUUACAAGACUAAGAGAACGAUGCAUCCAGCAAUGACCUUCAGUUGUAUUGUUGUAAGAGGGGAAGAUGUUAUGAAAGUUUCAAUUAAUCUUUUGAGCACUAUAUUAGAGUAGUGGUUAUGCACUUGCAUUGCUUACAAACGAGCUGUACAGAAGGGUAUACCUCCCAAAUACUUAGUGUAGUUGACUUGUCUUGGGUUGCACUGUAAAGCGGAGUACUCAGAGUAGUUGGAAAAAUGCAGAAUCAGUUGUAUAAUUUUUUUAUUAAAAAAAAAGAACACCCAGUGUUUUCUAGGCUAAAGUAUAAAGUGUCAGAUCUUAGGUGGAGAAAUCCAUGACUGAUUUUUUUUUUUUAACCAGCCAAACAUGGGCUGUGUAUGUUUUUGUCCUUGUUUAUUUUUUGCUCUUUAAAAAAAAUUUCUAGGAAAAAUAAAAAACUUAAUAAAGAAUACCCACAUGUUUUAAGUCCAUGUGUGAUAUCAAAUGGGGAGUUUUGUUUUAACAGUCGAAUACAUUGAGGCCAGCCUUGAGGCAUAGCUGGAUUUAAGUUAGAAAGAGACACAUUUAUGAAAUGAGGCAUUUUGUCUCUAUCUUCCUGUCUCAUAGUCUCCCAGUUGGACCAAUGGUCUUUCCCUGGUCACACAGUGGAAUGCUUCAUUGCUACCAUUCCCAUUCCUGUUACUGGAUCCUUUCAUUCCUGAGACUGCAGGGUCUGGGGAAUUUCAUAAAUGCAAGCCAGCCCCUACAACCCCCCUCAAAAAAAUUGAAUGCUUCAUAAUAUCUGGGCUACCUUUGAAUGUAAGAUUUGGUUUUCUUGUGACAGACUUAUUAUGGCUGUCUCAUUAGGACAAACAUUAUUUGCAUUUUAUUUUUUGGCUAGACAAUAAAAGUUAUUUUCAUUUUCAGGAAUAAAACUUAGUUUAGUAAAAAUAUAUAGAAUAUGUAAUUGCCAUGUUAUUGCAACUUCUUUGUUCUUCACACACUAGCUGGUUAUUUUAGCCCACUAUAUCCAUGAGCCUGUUGAAACAUGUUAGAAAAUGAAUCAGAAGAAGAAAAAUAACUUGAGAGAGUAAUGGAGAAGUAAGGAGUUUAACUUGUAAAGUUUUGGAAGGACUAGCAGGUGAAUAUUUUAAAAAAUCUAGUUGUAGUUUUGAAUGGGAAAAGAUAACACAGAGAAGAUGUUUUUAAAAAAGCAGAAGGAGCACUUCACUAUUAGAACACUUUGAGGAAGAGUGGCUAAGGCACAUACAAAUGCCAAUGUAAAAAACAAAUGUGACUUAACUUGCCUAGGGUACCAAUACAUGGUCUGCAGUUGUGGCCACAAUGCCUUUUGAGGACAAUUCAUUAUGUAUUACACCCAUUUAUGUUUAGAGAAGAGAAUUAAAUAAUCACAAGCUAAAAUGUGCUGUAUAUUAAUUUCACAAUAACUUUCUACUUAAUGUAUAUUCCUUUGAUGGUUUCUAGUUAGAAUUUAUAUUUCUGCUAUAGGACCAAUGGGAGCUAUAUGAGUUCUUUCUUGUUCCAUUUUUAUGUUAUUUUCUUUUACAGUAUUUUUGUUUACCAAUUUGCUAAUUAACUACAAGUAAGUGAGAACUUACUUUCACACUUGAAGGGAAACUUGCCUUGUUUUUUGUAAAAUGACUGUUAUAAAAAUGAAACAAACUUCUAUUCAGGUUUUAUUAGGCAUACAAUAACAUAAAGAUCUCAUAGCAAUGUAAUAACAGUCUAAAAUACAUUCUGUAUUGCAUGUCCUGAUGUGUUUUUAUUUGUCUGCUUUUUUAAAGAACUAAUGAAUCUGUAUAUUGUAAAGUGUGGUGUUUUACAUGUCAGUUCACUUUUUUAAUGAAAGAAAAUCUGUUGAUUACUGAAAUGGAACAGUGUAGCUUUUCUUUAAUUUCUUUAUAUUUUUAUUCUUGAUAUUGUUCUUUCAAUCACCCACUUUCUGUUUUUAUGUAAUCUCUAUUUAUAUAAUGUAGGAUGCAUAUAAAGUUCUCAUUGGUGAUGUUGAAGAAAAGAUAUUACUCUCUGGACUCCCUCUAGCAUUCCUCUCCCUAUGUCCACAUACCAAGAACUUGUAGAACAUAUCAUUAUAAUCUUAAGGCAGUAACUUGAAGGUUUACACUUUUCAUUAUCCUAAAAUACCAAUGAAAUGUAACUUUUAAAAUUUUCUCACUCUGUGUUUCAUAUUCAGUAUCAAGAAAAUUCAGAACAUUGCAAUCAGAAUAUAGAUUGUGUAGAUUAUAAAAUUUUAAAAGAACAUAUCAGAUAAAGCUAAAAACACUUUGUAAGAGAGGUACACAGACACAGGGUCUUGUCUUCUUGAGGAGAUGCCAUAUCCUGGCAGCAUCCUGGGGGAGCUUGGGAAAUACUUGGGUACAUGGUGUAGUGAGCAGAUGUCCUUUUCAACUGUCACUGGGUAACCAAAUAUCAGAGAAUGUCAUAAUGUGAACCUCUCUUAUCCAGAACUUCAGACCAAAGUGACUUUCUAAGCGACUUAGCUUGUCUGGUGGCAUAUUCAAAAAGUAGUAAUAUAGCCAUCCUUGGGAGACAAAAUAGUAGUAGUCUUUACCCCAGUGUAAGCAUAUAUAAAAAUAUCUCCUGGUUGCCUAAUCUCUAACACUCAACUUUCUUCUUCUAAACACGUUCAUAGGGAGUAAGAGAUGAUGGGCUUAUUAUGAAUUAAAUAAUCACUAAAAGAAAAGAAUAUUCCCUUCUUUUCUUUCAGAACCCCGGCAUGCAAGUUGUUCAAUUAAUGCUAAAGCAUAUAAAGUCUUUAAGCUGGUAGUAUCUGUAAUCAAAUAAUGAAAAAAGGAAAGCAGUUAAAUGAACUCACUAUUCAGGGUCAAAUAUGUUCAGCAAAAAGCUGUAGUGGGUCUUUGAUCAUGGUUAGAUUCAUAGUGAUAUCAAACAGUUGGUUCUCAUGUAACAGCUAAAUGUUUCAGAUUUUGUUUUUAUUAAAUUUGGCAUUUCACACUGAGAUCUGUAUUCCUAGUGAAUAAAAGACAGCUACUGUGUUAGGAGGGAUUCCAUUUUCACAAUUGCAAAAUAGAUAUUUCAGGAACAUGGGCCACAAAAUGUACUCCUUUCACAGUGUUCUCCUAUUCUGAACUGUGCAGUUAUCUAUUAAAUUUUCUAAUAGAUAUUUGUGUAAGGUGUAUGUAUGCUUGUGCAAUUAUUUAAAAAAGCAGUUUUGGAAAACAGUGUAUUUAUUAAAGAAAAUCACUUAUGGGGCAUGUACAAAACUGUAAAAAAAAAAAAAAAAGACUUAAAAAAAUCACUUCAAUUUGCCCAGUAAAGUUGUUUUUGUGAAAUUUCUGUGUUGUUGAAUAAAGG